ensembl:lncRNA
CACAUCUGGCUGUGUCUGACCCACAGUGACUCCAGGUUGUUUCAUCCACUACAGUCUCAUUAAACAGACAGCAUUUUAAAGGUGAUUGUGUAGCAGUGUUGGAUGAGGCCCCAUACAUUGGCCCAUUCCGCAGUGAGCAGCUCACGCAGGGAGUGGUGGCUGUGUUGUGUGGUGUGCAGAAAGAGCUGGGAAUCUGGGAGCUGAGUGCAUGAAGUUCUCUGAAACAUCUCCAGCUUUGCCUUCCAAAGAUUCACAAGAGAUUGAGGCAGAGUGGCAGUGAAAAAUGUUGAUGUAUCAAUAGCCUGGGACCCCACUUGCUCCACUGCCCUGAGAGAUUGCAACAGGAUGCUCCCCUGCUCUUAGUCCAGGACUGGUUUCAAGUCUCCAGAUGCUGCAGGUGCAAGUAUUUACACUGCAAACCAGAUCCUUCAAAAAUGCUAUAAAUGUGGCUGUAUGUGAAAGACCCUGCAGGAUGUUUACUGAAAGAAAUGCUUGAAAGAUGUCAUUUUUCCUUCGGCAAAGAUCUCCCUAUGCCUUUCUUUUCCUGCUUCUCAGUGCUCCCAUGCAGGCAGUGCAUGGCUCAGAGGCGGCGCAGCACACCUGGCUCUGUGCUCUCAGACCCGCCGUGUCCUAUGCAGGCUUCUCUCCAAGAUGACAUUAAUUCACUGGAAGGGAGAAGAAGAGUACCAGGAUUUCUGAAAUCAUAAAUUUUUUCAUAUAGAUGACUACCCAAAGUACAUAUUGUAAUGAGCUUAAAAGCUAAGAGGCCAGGGACUAUCUAAGACCAUAGGAACUGGAAUCUAUAAACAAGCUCAUCCAAUAUAUUGUCAACGGGAGACAUGUAUUUAUGGUGAAAUGGCUUUCAGGGUAGAAACUAUUGGGUCUUCUUUUUUUUAUCUGUUCUCUGGCAGAGGAAUGAUUUAAAGAGAACCUCAACUCGCAUUUCAAGUAAUAGGUGACAGGAGCUCAUCCAUUUCAGUGUAAUUCAUUGCACUGCAAAUGUAUGGGGGAGAUUCUAAAAGAAAACCAGGGAGUUAUAUUUCCAAGUGAGCCACUAGAUUUUUAAAUGUGGUAUUUCCUCCUUGUUUUCCUUCUAUUAAACUUACUGCUUUCCCUGAGAAGAAGAUUGCAUUUUUGUGUUAGAUAAUGCUCUGUAUCUGUUCCUGCUCUAACGCCAGCUCUAAAGCUGGGGGUGCAAGGUAGGGUAAAUGCUUGGUUUUGCUACUCAUAAUGUUAGUGAUAGCUUUUGUUUUAUUGUUGUUGCUCAAGU